GAACUCCUUGCGUGAGGACACGUAGCAGACGACCUUCUCCCGUCUUUCUCCGUUUCACUAUGCACAUCUCCGGCUUUCGGCAAACCGAACGAAGAACAAAAACAAUAACACAACUUCGGAAAACACAGGAGCAAGUUCUGUACGCUGAUCGAUCUUUUGUACUCUAAAAUUCUUGAAUAAUCUUGCAAAUGGUGAAGCUAGCGUCGGCACGAGAGAACAGAAUGUACGGAACAAUGCUGGGUGGAAACAGAGCAAAAUACAUAAACACAGGACUUUAUGUGUUUGCUACCAUUGUUCUUAUAGCUGGCG
rnacentral:misc_RNA from 1 species